AGAAACAGGAAGAAAGAGUGAGAGAAAGUUGUGGUGAAAGAGUACAGCAGGGUUCAACACCAUCCCCUGCCAGAGCCUCGUGGAGCUUUUAGGUGUUUUUGCUCAAUAAACACUCACAACGCCCGGUCUGGGAAUCGAAACCGCGAGUCCGCUGCCCUAACCACUGGGCCAUUGCGCUUCCACCGAUGACAAAUAUAAACACCGAUUAGCGACAAUUUGUUUGCUGAUAGCGUAGUCAAAGCUUUAGUCUUUUGCUAGUCUCAAAGUUCCGUCUACUUCUCCUUCACGAGAUACAAUAUAUGGAAACACCGGUGUCCCAAAAGCCGCUCGUUAACGAGACGAUUGUGUUGAACUCCUUGUUUUAAAUGGAAGAAGUUACCCUUCCUAACACAAAACACGACAGCACUCAGCAUAUUUUGUGUCUGAACCUGCCUUGAGGAGUUAAGAAGCAAUAUACAAUUAUUCAUUCCACAUCUUGCUAUAGAUCACCGUUUUUUUUUUAUUAAUGUUGUUGUUUAUGGCGCACUGAUUCGAUGUUAAUAUACGAAAGCGAUCAUCAGAUGAUCUGAAUAUUUUUACACCUGAUACAUCAGCAGCCUUCAUCAUCUUUAAAAGACUAAAUCAGCAUUUGGAAUGUUUACAAGAAGAGUUUUCCUUCUUAUUAAAUAUGGAUUACGAAUGAGUUUGCAGAGUCUCCAUAUCGCUGCAAAGAUCACAGCUGCUGGAAAUAUAGCAGUUGAAAGAUACAUUUUUGCAAGAAAUUAAGUAUAUGCA